GUCCAUGCCGUAAACGUUGGGCACUAGGUGUGGGGUCCAUUCCACGGAUUCCGUGCCGCAGCUAACGCAUUAAGUGCCCCGCCUGGGGAGUACGGCCGCAAGGCUAAAACUCAAAGAAAUUGACGGGGGCCCCGCACAAGCGGCGGAGCAUGCGGAUUAAUUCGAUGCAACGCGAAGAACCUUACCAAGGCUUGACAUACACCGGAAAAGUGCAGAGAUGUGCUCCCCGCAAGGUCGGUGUACAGGUGGUGCAUGGUUGUCGU
rnacentral:rRNA from 1 species